rnacentral:rRNA from 1 species
ACUUACGGCCAUACCACUCUGAAUACGCCUGAUCUUGGAAGCUAAACACAGUCUGCUCUGGUUAGUACUUGGAUGGGAGANNGCCUGGGAAUACCAGGUGCUGUAAGCCU